rnacentral:tRNA from 1 species
ACCAUUGUAGUUUAUUUAAAACAAUACUUUUUCAAAGUAUAAAUAAACUUAAGUUUCUAAGGUU